rfam:Felis catus isolate Cinnamon breed Abyssinian chromosome D1, whole genome shotgun sequence.
UCCCUAUCUUAAAGAAACAGCUUUCAGGAGCAUUUCUGCAAUUUUUCAGGAGCACAAGAUAGAUU